AGCUCGACAGCGCUCCGGCAGAGCUCGGCAGAAUUCGGUAGGGCUCCGGUAGCGCUCGGGCAAGGCUCGUUAGAGCCCCGGUAGGGCUCGGCAAAGCUCGACAGUGCUCCGGCAGGGCUCGGCAGUGUUCGGCAAGGCUCGUAAGCGCUCCGGCUGGGCUCGGCCGCGCUCGGACUCCUUCGGGUGCAGGAGCCCAGCCAACCCCACAGUAGCGGAGUGCCUGGCGGUGCGCGCUCCCCGAGACCCCGAUCCCCAAGAGCCCCGAGGCCCGCCCAUUGUGCCGCGGGGUUCGCCACCCCGCCAGCCGCCUGACGCAGCCGAGGCUCCGCCCCCGGCGUGACGCUAGCGUCAGGCCAGUCCCGGCAUGCUUCGCGGCCGCCCGCGGUCUAGCGCACUGAGGCAUCUUCCCGAGAGCGGCCGUGCCUCCGCGUCUCUGCACUGCGCACCCCGUCCGGCCGCCCGGUUGCCCCCGCCGCCCGCCCGUGCGUCCGAGCGGCCGCAGCCCUCCGCCGAGGGCGCCCCGGGACGGAAGGGUCCAGCAGCCUGCCGGCGCCCGCCGCGCUCGUGGUCGCCGUCGCCGUGGUCGUCGUGGUCGUGUCCGCCGUCGCCUGGGCCAUGGCCAAUUACAUCCACGUCCCGCCCGGCUCGCCCGAGGUGCCGAAGCUCGACGUGACGGUGCAGGACCAGGAGGAGCAGCGCUGCCGCGACGGCGCCCUGAGCCUGCUGCGGCACCUGCGGCCGCACUGGGACCCCCGGGAGGUGACCCUGCAGCUGUUCACAGAUGGGAUCACAAACAAGCUCAUCGCCUGCUAUGUGGGUGACACCAUGGAAGAUGUAGUUCUGGUGAGGAUUUACGGCAACAAGACUGAACUGUUAGUCGACCGAGACGAGGAAGUGAAAAGUUUCCGCGUGCUGCAGGCUCACGGCUGUGCACCUCAGCUCUACUGCACCUUUAAUAACGGACUGUGCUAUGAGUUUAUCCAGGGCGAAGCUUUGGACCCGCAGCAUGUCUGCAACCCAGCCAUUUUCAGGCUAAUAGCUCGUCAGCUUGCUAAAAUCCAUGCUAUUCAUGCGCACAAUGGCUGGAUCCCCAAAUCUAACCUAUGGCUAAAGAUGGGAAAAUAUUUCUCUCUCAUUCCCACCGGAUUUGCUGAUGAAAACAUUAAUAAAAGGUUCCUGAGUGAGAUCCCAAGCCCGCAGCUUCUGCAGGAGGAGAUGACUUGGAUGAAAGAGCUGCUUUCAAGCCUGGGCUCACCUGUGGUCCUUUGCCAUAACGACCUGUUGUGUAAGAAUAUAAUCUACAACGAGAAACAAGGUUAAGGAUGCCCUGAGAAUCUGGAUGAUCUAGAAGCCCCUCCUUGGGAAGUGAGUGUGCACAUCAGAUUCUAGGGUGUGUUUUCAUUAUCUGUUCACCUUUGAGACCUCAAGGAGAAAUUCUUGUCUGAAGGAAUUAGUUAUUAAGAGUAAUGGACAUUAUUAAUACUGGGAAAUAUUAAAAAAAAUUAAACUCACGGUGAAAAGAAACAACAUGUUCUGUUGCUAGGAGAAUAUUUCCCAGUGCUGUAAUUUGAUUUUUCUGGCACCCUAAAGAUCAUAAGACCUCUUUAAUUUUACAUUGUUGCAGAAUCUUAAAUUUAAGGUUGAGUUCCACUUUGUAAUGAUUUGAAACAGAAUAGUUAAUGCAGAUUUUAAACAUUUCUUUCCUUUAAAGCUUUGUGUCUUGUACAAUGUGAGUUUGCCAAAUUCUCUUCAUCUGCUACAGAUUAGGUAUGCCAUUGCUGCUGCCAUGUGGCGGCGCCCCGUGCUUCUUAAACGCACUGACUGGAGCUUUGUCGCCUCACUUGUUCACAUGCACGGAGCCUGGUAACAGCCCCAUCUGUAUUUUGUUAGCUUCAUUUUCUUAUCUUUAGAUUUCAUUAUAAACUCAACAUAGCUUUUAAACGUAAAGGCCAGUGUUAAUGAGUUAACGCUACUACAAAAGUCACUGCUAAAACUUUUCAUGUUGAAACAGAUUUUAACUUUUCUUAAAAUGAUUUAUGUUUUAGUUAAGUUAUGUGUAUAAGCGGGACUGUUUCUACCUGCUAUUUUAACUGUGUUUGCCAAAUUCUAAAUAUACUUUUGAAAAUGGAAGCUUUUAUUUAUGUUGCAAAAGUAAGCUUCGGGACUGGGCUGUGUAUUUUUAUUGGCACGUAACUAUUAAAAUGAGCUCUACGAGAAGCUGUGCUUAAACAGCCCAAGGCAUCAGCCGCUGCUGUAAGUCACCUGUGAGCGCUCGGCUGCUUCAGUCACGCACAUGGUAGAUGUUGAACUCUGCUCUUUGAACGCUCGUGGAGGCAUAGGUAUGUUCUGGAUCGUUGUAUUUAGUUUUGCUUGUUGACAGUUUCCUAGAGAAUACUCAUAGUAUUCUUUUUUAAGAAUAACAUUUUUCUCUUCAGAAAUGCUCAUUGUAAAGAAGUUUUAAAAGAAAGAGAAGAAAAGUUUAAAGGAAAGUCACUAGUCUACCACUACAAUAAAUGAGAUGAACAUUUUGUUUUGGUUUAUUUCAAUUCACCUUUGCCCUAUAUCCUCUUUUCUUAGACAUAGUUUAAUAAAUUGUAACACAGUAUAUUAGCUGAUUUCAAUAUCCAUUUCGUAACUUUAUCUUUUAGACUCCUAAUUUUGAGUGCUUUGUCUCAGUCCAGGGCUUGCCGUGAGACUUUGUCCGCAGCUUGUCACUGCCAAUCUUGUCCGGAUGCCCUUGUGUUGCUCGCUGAAAUCCUCCAGUGACGGGUGCUUGUCAAGCAGCCAUGGGCUUGCAGCAGCCACAGGGAUUGCAGUGGUUUAUUCUUAGUAACAUUUAAGGACCCUUACCAUUCACUGUAACAAGAUGCAUCCAGUUUUGCAAACUGGAAUAUACUUUGAUCAUUGCUCCUUUUCCCAAUACAGUGUUUAGGGUCAACCCCAGGCCUGGUGCCUGCUAGGCCUGCUAGACCACAUCUCAGCUCAGGCUGCUCCCAGCCCCUGGCCUGCCGUCCUUACACAGUUUUAGAAUGGAAUCCAGUUGCUCUCUAAAGAGCUUCACAUUUACCACAGCAGCCCCUGGUCAUAAGUUCUUAACUAUAACUAUGCUCAUAUACUUCUGGAGUAAAUAUCCAGAUCUCUAUUAAGGCAGUAAAAUUAAGACACUGCUUUCUUUGAGAAACGCCCCUGUAACUGCAGCACACGGCUUACAGGACAGGAUGACCACGUUGUUGUUACACAGUCUCUCAGCCUGACCAACUUGAGAUGGACUUUCGCAGCAUGGCCACUCUGUGUCCACUGCAGCUGGAGUUCCAUGGGCACACACGUCCUUGGUGUGCACAGUGACGUACAUUAGUUUUUAAAAAAAAUCAGUAUCACUUCUGUGUUUUAUCAUAGAAUAUAUUCAGCUUAUAUAUUUACAUGUAAUCCCACGGUAAUGAGCACUUAAAAAUUAAAAAUUUCUAAGUCAUAGUAAUCACUUGUAAAAGGUGGGCAGAGUUGUCUUCACACACACACACACACACACACAGAGUGAGGGAGAGAGAGACAGAUACACACAUACAUUUGAAUGAAAUUUUAAUUUAACUCAUGUAAUGCCCUUGAGACAUGGAAAACGCAGUUGUGAGGUUAAACCAUACAAGCUUAAGACUUUGACAGCAUCAAAUUGAUCACCACGUUUACUGUCAGAAGCACAGAAUUCAUGGUUUCCCACUUUCUUUCCUACGUUAGAUAAGCUUGCUAGUGUAGAGUUUGUCAUAGGCGAUGUCUUGUUCAGAUAGGCUGUUAACGAUUCACAGUUGUUUCUAAUUAAAUAUGAGUUUUUAAGUUAUUGAUGCCCCCAUGUGGUGAAAAGCGUAUCUUUCCUCUGUUAGAACUUGGAAAUGACUAUAUUUUCAUUUUAAUAAAAGUGGAUAAUAAUGUUUUUGAAAUGCUGUUGAUCAGGGACAUAAUUUGAAUUUUGUAAAGCUCAUUGCCAUAAAAUUCACAGCCUCACCCUGUGUUGUCUCAGAAGUGCAUGUAACCAAGCACGCCCAUUGAGACAAAGUAUAAGAGAGACUGAGUUAUAGAUAGCAUAGGGCUUUUCUGAUCAUGUUUGUGAUUUCUUAUUUGCUUUGUUUCUGUGUCUCACAUAGGUGACGUACAGUUCAUUGAUUAUGAGUAUUCUGGAUACAACUACCUGGCAUAUGAUAUUGGAAAUCAUUUCAAUGAAUUUGCAGGUGUCAGCGAUGUAGACUAUAGUCUCUAUCCAGAUCGAGAGCUCCAGGGCCAGUGGCUGCGCUCUUACCUUGAAGCUUACAAGGAGUAUAAGGGCUUUGGCAGUGAUGUCACUGAGAAGGAAGUCGAGACUCUCUUCAUUCAAGUCAAUCAGUUUGCGUUGGCUUCUCAUUUCUUUUGGGGACUCUGGGCUUUGAUACAAGCUAAGUACUCCACGAUCGAGUUCGACUUCCUUGGGUAUGCGGUUGUCCGUUUUAACCAGUACUUUAAAAUGAAGCCUGAGGUCACAGCACUAAAAAUGCCCGAGUAAAGAAGAGGCCUCGCUGUUCUCCAGGAGCCGAGCGACGCUUGUGGAUGUUUCUGAGAAAUUCCAAAAGCCAAUAUUUGUUAAAACUCAUUUAAUUUGGUUAUCUUGCUUUAAGGAUUAUGCCUCUAAACAACCAACCUAUUUUUAAAUAGAAUGAUGUUGAGAUAUGCUUACUGCUGUCAGUGUGUGGCGGGCUAAAGAGUUGACCAUCAGCAGGGAGAGUGAGGAGUGGGGCUUUAGCCUGUGGCAGUACAGCCAUGUUACAUGUGAAUUAUUUAUUACAGAUUUGACAUGACUGACUACUUUGAUCUUUCAUUUGUUGGUUCAGUGUAUGCAAUGAGAAUAUUGUGGAAAUCUUUAAAAGGUUUUGUUGAUAGAUUUAAUUUCAGAAAAACAUUCUUGUUGUUCAAUGUAACCUUUGUAAAAUGAAUCAUUUACUCUCAACCUUGGCAGUCACUGCCUCAGUAGUAACUUAGGGUAUUCUAGAGAAGGGCCCAUUGAGGGGGGAGUAAGGGAGUUACUGUCUCCUGGGGUAUACUUUUUUGAAUUGGAAAUUGGAAAUCAUUUCUUUUGGGGGAGUACAACUUAGAAUUAAAUUGUCUCUACAUAGCCUGACAAUAUAAAAUAUAUUUACUGUAUAAGCCUGGAAUAUAACAAUUUAAUGUUAAAAUCUGUUAUUAAGUCAUGUUUUCAAAUACUAGAUACAGUCAUUUAAGGUCAUAGUCCCAAGUUUUAGAAUUUACCUAUCAAAUUGUUUCUAACCAAAAGUUUUGUUUUACUUAAGAUACUCUGUUUUUGUUCAUUAAGUAAUAGCUGGUAUUGUUAGUAUUUGAAACAAACAUACAGAGUUCAUCAUACUUGGAAGCAAGGAAUAUCAUUUAGAUGCUUUUUAUUCAGAUCCAUUCCUUAAGUUGGUUUUGUGUCUGUAGAGUCAGCAAAUGAUUAAUUAUACAUGUGAUUCCAGAGUAGUGUUGUUGAAGCAGUUACAGAAUCAGUAAGGAACAUUUAGCUAGGUCAUUGAGCUUGACUACUUACAAUCUAACAAAUAAGGAAAUGUGAAUUAGACAGUAGUUGUGGUAGGAGGACUUGUUUUGAUUUAUCUUGGUUUUGUCAGUCUAGUUUUUAUUUUGUGGAUGUGUAGGGGGAGGCAACUAUUUCAUGAAAGAAAGUUAGGUCUUUGAGGUAGACAAGAAGGCUUUAAUCUUUGAAGACUGCUCUGUGGGUUGAGCAGUCAGGGGUAACUUUACUUAGAUUAGUCAGACAGGCUUUGCACUUUGGUCACAUAAGUGCUUAUGUACAAAGUUGGCUCCAUGGAUCUGCAUAUUUAAAGUAUGCACUACAGAUCUAUCCUAAGAUUGUCUGGUGUUCCACAUGACUUAUGUUCUCAGCCAAGUGCUUUCAAAUACUUGGAUUGUCUCAAGGUGUUCAAACCUAAUAAAGUAGAAACAUGCCAUUUGAAAUGGUAAAUUCUAGCCACAUAUAUACACUCUUAAAUAUGUGUCUCUAACAGUGUUAGACCUGGCUUCGGUUUCUACCUCCCCAGUGCUGUCAUGUUCAUGUUUGUUUUUAUGAACCACGUUACUUACUGUAAGAUCAUUACAAUUUUGCUGACUUCCUUGAAUGGAAACAAAUAAUGACAAGCUCGUUACAACGUUCAAGCAAACCUGAAAAAAGAAAAAACAACUGGCUUAGUGGAAUUUUCAUUCAUGGUUGAAACAUUGUCGUAGGAUGAUAAAAAUGUGAGCCUCCUGAUUCUUUUCUUUCCUCCUUAAAAUCCGAGAGUGUGUGUCAUGUGGAAACCCUGGAGAAGACAGUGUUGCUAGUCUGUUCCUGUUCGUGAGAAUGCUUUGAAUGGAGGCUCACUGUGCUGCGGCGGCUGCGGCUGCUGCCGGUGCUGCUGGACUGCAAAGCAGCCAGCGGAAAUGUGACAGGCUCCUGUGGCGUGAGUGCAAUGACAGCGAGGCGUCCUUGUUCACCCUGCUAGCACGUAAGAGAUCGUGGAGAGAGACCAGCACACGGGAACUCUUGCCCCCAUUCCUUGGCCAGAUUUGGGUGCUCUGAUGCACCCGCUUCUCAUACAGCUUUUGGGGAUCAUGGUGUAGACUAUCAAGAGGAUUCAAAAUGUCUUUCUUUGUAUUGACCAUGUAAGGGAUUCUAAAGAGGGUAUAUUGGGACUGUUCUGAAGAGCAUCCCUCUAAAAUGUGUCCUGUGGCUUGCUAGAUAUCAGUUGCCUUCUUUUGUUCAGCUAAGGAACUUGAAUGCCUUACCUAAUCACUCAACUGGUAGUAAGCUCGUUUUGUAAAUGUGAAAGUGGAUGUUAGAAGUGGCAUUCAUGGAUGUUCAAUGUAAUCAAUAGACCGUAGUGGCCUGGAUGCUUUCACAAGCAAAAUUCCCCAUUUCUGCCCUCCACCCCCAUCCUGUUUCCCUGGCACACUGUAUGACCUUCAACCUGACCAGUGAUAUUUGAUAGCCUUCCUCUCCCUCUGUGCUACCACCAUUUCUGGAAAUGAGAUGUGGUGGCCCCGUCUUGCUGUUGGCAUGAUCUGCCUGAGAUGAACAUGAGCACAACCCUCAUCAACUAGGUCUGCUUGGAGUGUAAAUAGGACGGUGUAAAUAAGCUGCUGCAAUUAGUGUGAGUGUUGUCUUGCCUAAAGAGUGUGUAGUUCUGCAUUUUCCUUUGUAGAAGUUUUUCUGUCACUAAAUGAUCCAGCCUGUUGUCAUUAGGCUGGGAACCGAGCAGUAAGAUAGCAGGAACUGGAAGGAAGGUUUAAUGGUUUAGUUAACGUUGGCAUUUAUUUAUUUAGCCUCUCAGUGCCUAAUACGACUUUUCUCCAUUUUUUACUUGGCUAUUAAUUUUUUUUGUAGGUUAGAUUCUGGGAAGCAGUAUAUUUAUAGAGCUCAUCUUUGAGUCACAAUUUGAAACUAAAGGAAACUAAAAAUAUAAUUUGUUUGUAAACUGAAGUGUGGUCCCCUUUUCUAUUUUCAGAGUUUGUUGACACUUUCUACAAAAACUUGAAAUUCAAUGUGAAUGUAAAUCUCAUCCAUACGAGACACAGGGCAAAUGACGUCUCUCACGUUUGUCAGGCCUCUCCUCUGGAGUGGCUCAGUGUGGGCCAACUAGUUUUCUCUCCCUGACCCCCAAAUGUUUAUUUUAACUUUGUGUUGCUAACAAAAAAGAAUUCCCGCAAACACUCGAAAGAAAAGUUAGAAUAUUUGAAAAGUACUCAGUUGUCUCAGUUGUCCGCAGAGCCCGUGUCUCCUGGUGACCUCACUGACUGACUUACAGAGGGCAGUAGGAUCAGGUGGGACUUUACUUUUUUCUCUCUAACUUGCUUUUAAGCAUUUUAUCCUGCAUUCCAGAGUACUGUAGACUUAAGUAUUCCCUGUUAACGUGUCACCUGUCACCAUGCUUUGUCCUGGGGUUGUCCUCGUGGCAGCAGCUUCUGCUACCUCACAGGGAAGGUGUGUGCAGGUGGAGAGCCUCCUGACAGGUCUCUGGCUUCAACUGCUGCUGAUUUUCCUCUGUCAGAUUGUAGGCUGGCCUUUACUGUGAAGCUGAGCUGCAUCCUCUGGCCCGUUCCUGUUCUGAGUAGGUGGUGAGCCGCCUUUCCCCACAGUGACAGCAGUGUUCAGUCUUGGGUUUGACAAAUGCUAUCAGCUGCUCCAGACAAAACAUCCCCAUUUCUGGAAUUUCAGUCCAUGUUUCUGUAAACGAAAAUACUGAAGGCUUUGCAUUACUUUGAAUUCUUGAAGGCUAAAUUCAGUGACACGUUACAGAAUGAGUUAGAUUGGUUUUAGCAGUUUUUAAUGCUGAAAAUUUUCACUUUUGGCUCAGUUUGAUACGGGAAGAAACCCCAAAGUAUUUGGAUUAGAAACAAGUCGUGAUGCUUGAUCGAUAAGCACUUUAACUCCUGUGUUGGCUGACGCUUCUUUCUCUCCUGGACUGUAGACUAUGGCACCACCAACCUAUCUUUGUCCAUUGUGCAUUGUAUGGCGUAUGCACUUGCAAAAAUACUCUUUAAAAUAGUUAUAAUUUUAUCUUUUGGUUGUCUUACCCAUGGUGGUCCUUUAGAUCCUGUCAAGUAAGUUUUAAUAAAACACUAGGUAGUUAUAGAAAACUGAGAACACCACAUUGUCUUUUGAUUAGUUUGCGAAGGUGGAGCAGGAAAGCCUAUCCGAUUGGAAUUGCAGGCUUCCUAGCUGCAAACUCUUGAGAGCUAGGUUGAAACCCAAUGACACCUGCAGAGCGGUGGAGGGCGGGGAGUGCCUGUUGUCCACCCCUGCACUGUGGCGUGCUGCUGUUUGUUGUAGGUAGCGACGUACUGAGUGUUCCUUGUUAGUAAUCUGGAGUCGUCCUCUGUAUUUACAUGUACUAAAGUAACUGUAAACUAAUGGAACUUGUAAGAACUUUCCUGUAUUUAGGAGCUUUUGUACAGCAAGGUCACAUGUCCUGAUUGAAAGAAGAAGACAUGCUAUUACCUAUCAUAUGCAAGGGAAAAAGCUGAAGUGAGGAGUUGUCUUUGCAUUAGCUGUCUGUUGAAUUGGGGAGCUAUGGCACAGGAUCUUAAAUUUGUGUUUCUCAAAUGUGAAUUGUAGUCUAAUGCUGCUUUGUAUAGACUAAGUGCUAUGGCUAGUCUCAGCACUGACCGUGGAGUGAUACCUCGCAGUGAGCGCAGCCUUUGUUCUAGCUUCCCCGACUCCGCAGCACUGUCUGCGUGCUGGACAGCUUGCUUAUCUGUCUGCUAGCAGAGAUACUUCCUGCUUUUUCCUUUGUUGUUACAUAUUUUUAUGUUUGAAAUUUAAUUUUUACUACUGUUAAUUUAAGUAAAAUUUGUUCCAUGUAUAAAUUGGCAUUGCCAGUGAAAAUCAACAGCCUCAUUCAUGACGCUGCUGAAGUGAAGUACAUUUGUGUUCUGUGUUCAUGAACUUGCAAUGAAGCCGUGUUUCUUUUACGAUAAAGUGCGGCUUAGGCUUUAUUUCUGUUUAAUAAGGCUUUCUACCAUUGAUUAAAUGAAGGAAUGUAUCUUUUUGAAGAGAUUUAUAUUCUGUAAAUAAACAUUGGUUGUAACAAUAAAGUUGAGUUCUAACUAUAA